UACUGUCUUCUCAACUGUGACAUAAGUUUGUCAUUUGUAUGUGUCCCCUAAGGCUUUUUUUCUGUUUUCCAGCAGCCAAGAGUUAUGUGACGGUGAUGACAGUGCACAAGAUAGGGAGAAUAAUACAGCCAACCAGAGGAUGGUGCUAAACAUAAAGAAGAGAAAGAAAACGACACGUCUUGGAAAAACAGGAGACAGGCACCAGCACCCCUCCGGAUCCCUCUAAGGGACAAAAGUGUACAGGAAAUGGAUGGAUGGAUGAAUGUUCACGCAUUACUUUUGAAGCUUUUCCUUUUGUGGCUUCAAGAUCAUCAAAGACAAUAAAGAAAUUAUGAGUGA